rnacentral:rRNA from 1 species
CAAAAGGGGGGGAAAUAACGGGGAGCUUGUUUCGUUGAUGUGAGCGGCGGACGGCUGAAUAACACCUUUUGAAUCUGCCUGUAAAACUGGGAUUGUCCGGGAAACCGGGGCUAAUACCGGAUGGUUGUUUGAACCCCAUGGUUCAAACAUAGUAGGUGGCUUCGGUUACGACUUACGGAUGGAUCCGCGGCGCAUUAGCUAGUUGGGGAGGAACGGCUCACCAAGGCAACGAUGCGUAGCCGACCUGAGAGGGUGAUCGGGACACUGGGACUGAGACACGGCCCAGACUCCUACAGGAGGCAGCAAUAGGUUAUCUUCCGCAAGGGAAGACAGUCGGAUGGAGCAACGCCGUGGGAGUGAAGAAUGUUUUCGGAUCGUAAAGCUCUGUUGUUGGGGAAGAACAAGUAACGUUCCAAUAGGGUGGGACCUUGGCGGUACCUAACCGGAAUGCCACGGCUAACUACGUGCCAGCGGCCGCGGUAAUACGUGGGUGGAAAGCGUUGUCCGGAAUUAUUGGGCUUAAAAGGGCUGGUGGGGAUUUUGUUUUGUCUGAUGUGAAGCCCACGGCUCAACCGGGGAGGGUCAUUGGAACUGGGGAACUUGAGUGCGGGAGAGGAGAGGGGAAUUUCCACGUGUAGCGGUGAAAUGCGAAGAGAUGUUGGAGGGACCACCAGUGGCGAAGGGCCCACUUCUCUGGUCUGCACCUGACCCUUGAAGAGCGAAACCGUGGGGGGGCUAACUGAAUUAUGAUCCCCCUGGUACUCCACGCCUUUAACAAUGGGUGCUUAGUGGUCAGGGGGUUUCCCCCCCUUAGGUGCUGCGCUGACCCCAUAAACUCUCCGCCUGGGGAGGUCGGGUUCCAAGACAUGAAAACUCAAUAGAAUUUGACGGGGGGCCCGUCUCAGCGCUGGGAGCUAUG